rnacentral:rRNA from 1 species
AUUGAACGCUGGCGGCAUGCUUUACACAUGCAAGUCGAACGGCAGCGCGGGCUUCGGCCUGGCGGCGAGUGGCGAACGGGUGAGUAAUACAUCGGAACGUGCCCAGUUGUGGGGGAUAGCUCGGCGAAAGCCGGAUUAAUACCGCAUACGACCUGAGGGUGAAAGCGGGGGAUCUUCGGACCUCGCGCUAUUGGAGCGGCCGAUGGCAGAUUAGCUAGUUGGUGGGGUAAAGGCCUACCAAGGCGACGAUCUGUAGCUGGUCUGAGAGGACGACCAGCCACACUGGGACUGAGACACGGCCCAGACUCCUACGGGAGGCAGCAGUGGGGAAUUUUGGACAAUGGGCGAAAGCCUGAUCCAGCAAUGCCGCGUGUGGGAUGAAGGCCUUCGGGUUGUAAAGCACUUUUGGCGGGAACGAAAAGGACUGUGCCAAUACCACGGUUGGAUGACGGUACCCGCAGAAUAAGCACCGGCUAACUACGUG